rnacentral:tRNA from 1 species
GUCCCGUUCGUCUAACGGCUCAGGAUGCUGGCUUUUCACUCCGGCGAUGAGGGUUCGAUUCCCUCACGGGACG